rnacentral:rRNA from 1 species
ACAAAUACUAGCUCGAACCAUACAAAACACAACUUACAGAACCAAAUAAAACAAAACAUUUACACAAGUAAGAGUAUAGGAGAUAGAAAAUUCAAUAGACGCUAUAGAGAAAGUACCGCAAGGGAAAGAUGAAAGAUAUAUUAAAAGUAAAAAACAGCAAAGAUUAACCCUUGUACCUUUUGCAUAAUGAUUUAACUAGAAUAAUUUGACAAAGAGAACUUAAGCCAAACACCCCGAAACCAGACGAGCUACCUAGAAGCAGCAACAACGAGCAAACUCAUCUAUGUAGCAAAAUAGUGAGAAGACUCCUAGGUAGUGGUGAAAAGCCUAUCGAGCCUGGUGAUAGCUGGUUGUCCAGGACAGAAUCUAAGUUCAAUUCUAAGCCUUGCCUAAAAAAAUGUACAAAUUAAAUGUAGACUUAGAACAUAAUCCAAAAGGGUACAGCCUUUUGGACACAGGAUACAACCUUUACUAGAGAGUAAGUACAAAAAUCCACAUAGUUGGCCUAAAAGCAGCCACCAAUUAAGAAAGCGUUCAAGCUCAAUGAUUCCACAACACUAAUACAAAUAGUCACUACGAACCCCUAGUUUAACACUGGACUAUUCUAUUACUAAAUAGAAGAAAUACUGUUAAUAUGAGUAACAAGAAUUAAAUUCUCCACGCACAAGCUUAUAUCAGAACGGAUAACCCACUGAUAGUUAACAACAAGAUAAAUUCAACGCCACAGUUAAAGCCUUUAUCAANNNAAUUGUUAACCCAACACAGGAGUGCACUAAGGAAAGAUUAAAAGAAGUAAAAGGAACUCGGCAAACACAAACCCCGCCUGUUUACCAAAAACAUCACCUCCAGCAUUACAAUUAUUGGAGGCACUGCCUGCCCAGUGACACACGUUAAACGGCCGCGGUAUCCUGACCGUGCAAAGGUAGCAUAAUCAUUUGUUCUUUAAAUAGGGACUUGUAUGAACGGCCACACGAGGGUUUAACUGUCUCUUACUUCCAAUCAGUGAAAUUGACCUUCCCGUGAAGAGGCGGGAAUAUAUUAAUAAGACGAGAAGACCCUAUGGAGCUUUAAUUAAUUAGCCCAUAAACAAAAUAACAAUAACUCCAAGGAGCACAAAACACCGUUUAAUGGACUAACAAUUUAGGUUGGGGUGACCUCGGAAUACAAAAAAACUUCCGAGUGAUUAAAGUAUAGACUGACAAGUCAAAACGUAGUAUCACUAAUUGAUCCAAAUAUUUGAUCAACGGAGCAAGUUACCCUAGGGAUAACAGCGCAAUCCUAUUUGAGAGUCCAUAUCGAUAAUAGGGUUUACGACCUCGAUGUUGGAUCAGGACAUCCUAAUGGUGCAGCAGCUAUUAAUGGUUCGUUUGUUCAACGAUUAAAGUCCUACGUGAUCUGAGUUCAGACCGGAGUAAUCCAGGUCGGUUUCUAUCUAUUUUGUGCUUCUCCCAGUACGAAAGGACAAGAGAAGUAAGGCCAACUUAACAAUAAGCGCCUUAAACCUAACAGAUGAUAAAGUCUAAAUCUAGAAAAUCACACACAUUCAUAACCCUAGAACAGGGCAU